UACGUAGGGUGCAAGCGUUGUCCGGAAUUAUUGGGCGUAAAGAGCUUGUAGGCGGUUUGUCGCGUCUGCUGUGAAAUUUCGGGGCUCAACCCCGAACUUGCAGUGGAUACGGACAGACUAGAGGUAGGUAGGGGAGAAUGGAAUUCCCGGUGUAGCGGUGAAAUGCGCAGAUAUCGGGAGGAACACCGGUGGCGAAGGCGGUUCUCUGGGCCUUACCUGACGCUGAGGAGCGAAAGCGUGGGGAGCGAACAGG
rnacentral:rRNA from 1 species